rnacentral:lncRNA from 1 species
GAACUAAGCCUGAGAUGAGGGGAGAUCCCCGCAGCUGGAUACCCAGCCAAUAGAGACUUUACAGAACUCCUAUCGGAAUACCUGAUCGUGGGGGAAUGCAAAGGAUGAUAGAUCUAUCACUACCUUGCCACCUACCCCUCUACCCGAAAGAUACCCGCACAUCCACUAAUUCCCGCAUACCUGAACACCAUGUUCACAUAAUUGGAAACAACUCCUAACCCCCGGGGGCCCCACCCUUUCGGAGUGACAGGCU